UGAUCCCUGGCUCAGGAUGAACGCUAGCUACAGGCUUAACACAUGCAAGUCGAGGGGCAGCAUGGUCUUAGCUUGCUAAGGCCGAUGGCGACCGGCGCACGGGUGAGUAACACGUAUCCAACCUGCCGUCUACUCUUGGACAGCCUUCUGAAAGGAAGAUUAAUACAAGAUGGCAUCAUGAGUCCGCAUGUUCACAUGAUUAAAGGUAUUCCGGUAGACGAUGGGGAUGCGUUCCAUUAGAUAGUAGGCGGGGUAACGGCCCACCUAGUCUUCGAUGGAUAGGGGUUCUGAGAGGAAGGUCCCCCACAUUGGAACUGAGACACGGUCCAAACUCCUACGGGAGGCAGCAGUGAGGAAUAUUGGUCAAUGGGCGAGAGCCUGAACCAGCCAAGUAGCGUGAAGGAUGACUGCCCUAUGGGUUGUAAACUUCUUUUAUAAAGGAAUAAAGUCGGGUAUGGAUACCCGUUUGCAUGUACUUUAUGAAUAAGGAUCGGCUAACUCCGUGCCAGCAGCCGCGGUAAUACGGAGGAUCCGAGCGUUAUCCGGAUUUAUUGGGUUUAAAGGGAGCGUAGAUGGAUGUUUAAGUCAGUUGUGAAAGUUUGCGGCUCAACCGUAAAAUUGCAGUUGAUACUGGAUAUCUUGAGUGCAGUUGAGGCAGGCGGAAUUCGUGGUGUAGCGGUGAAAUGCUUAGAUAUCACGAAGAACUCCGAUUGCGAAGGCAGCCUGCUAAGCUGCAACUGACAUUGAGGCUCGAAAGUGUGGGUAUCAAACAGGAUUAGAUACCCUGGUAGUCCACACGGUAAACGAUGAAUACUCGCUGUUUGCGAUAUACAGCAAGCGGCCAAGCGAAAGCGUUAAGUAUUCCACCUGGGGAGUACGCCGGCAACGGUGAAACUCAAAGGAAUUGACGGGGGCCCGCACAAGCGGAGGAACAUGUGGUUUAAUUCGAUGAUACGCGAGGAACCUUACCCGGGCUUAAAUUGCAGAUGAAUUACGGUGAAAGCCGUAAGCCGCAAGGCAUCUGUGAAGGUGCUGCAUGGUUGUCGUCAGCUCGUGCCGUGAGGUGUCGGCUUAAGUGCCAUAACGAGCGCAACCCUUGUUGUCAGUUACUAACAGGUUCCGCUGAGGACUCUGACAAGACUGCCAUCGUAAGAUGUGAGGAAGGUGGGGAUGACGUCAAAUCAGCACGGCCCUUACGUCCGGGGCUACACACGUGUUACAAUGGGGGGUACAGAGGGCCGCUACCACGCGAGUGGAUGCCAAUCCCCAAAACCUCUCUCAGUUCGGACUGGAGUCUGCAACCCGACUCCACGAAGCUGGAUUCGCUAGUAAUCGCGCAUCAGCCACGGCGCGGUGAAUACGUUCCCGGGCCU
rnacentral:rRNA from 1 species